rnacentral:rRNA from 1 species
GGGUUGUGAGGUUAAGCGACUAAGCGUACACGGUGGAUGCCCUGGCAGUCAGAGGCGAUGAAGGACGUGCUAAUCUGCGAUAAGCGUCGGUAAGGUGAUAUGAACCGUUAUAACCGGCGAUUUCCGAAUGGGGAAACCCAGUGUGAUUCGUCACACUAUCAUUAACUGAAUCCAUAGGUUAAUGAGGCGAACCGGGGGAACUGAAACAUCUAAGUACCCCGAGGAAAAGAAAUCAACCGAGAUUCCCCCAGUAGCGGCGAGCGAACGGGGAGGAGCCCAGAGCCUGAAUCAGUGUGUGUGUUAGUGGAAGCGUCUGGAAAGGCGCGCGAUACAGGGUGACAGCCCCGUACACAAAAAUGCACAUGCUGUGAGCUCGAUGAGUAGGGCGGGACACGUGGUAUCCUGUCUGAAUAUGGGGGGACCAUCCUCCAAGGCUAAAUACUCCUGACUGACCGAUAGUGAACCAGUACCGUGAGGGAAAGGCGAAAAGAACCCCGGCGAGGGGAGUGAAAAAGAACCUGAAACCGUGUACGUACAAGCAGUGGGAGCACGCUUAGGCGUGUGACUGCGUACCUUUUGUAUAAUGGGUCAGCGACUUAUAUUCUGUAGCAAGGUUAACCGAAUAGGGGAGCCGAAGGGAAACCGAGUCUUAACUGGGCGUUAAGUUGCAGGGUAUAGACCCGAAACCCGGUGAUCUAGCCAUGGGCAGGUUGAAGGUUGGGUAACACUAACUGGAGGACCGAACCGACUAAUGUUGAAAAAUUAGCGGAUGACUUGUGGCUGGGGGUGAAAGGCCAAUCAAACCGGGAGAUAGCUGGUUCUCCCCGAAAGCUAUUUAGGUAGCGCCUCGUGAAUUCAUCUCCGGGGGUAGAGCACUGUUUCGGCAAGGGGGUCAUCCCGACUUACCAACCCGAUGCAAACUGCGAAUACCGGAGAAUGUUAUCACGGGAGACACACGGCGGGUGCUAACGUCCGUCGUGAAGAGGGAAACAACCCAGACCGCCAGCUAAGGUCCCAAAGUCAUGGUUAAGUGGGAAACGAUGUGGGAAGGCCCAGACAGCCAGGAUGUUGGCUUAGAAGCAGCCAUCAUUUAAAGAAAGCGUAAUAGCUCACUGGUCGAGUCGGCCUGCGCGGAAGAUGUAACGGGGCUAAACCAUGCACCGAAGCUGCGGCAGCGACGCUGAUGCGUUGUUGGGUAGGGGAGCGUUCUGUAAGCCUGCGAAGGUGUGCUGUGAGGCAUGCUGGAGGUAUCAGAAGUGCGAAUGCUGACAUAAGUAACGAUAAAGCGGGUGAAAAGCCCGCUCGCCGGAAGACCAAGGGUUCCUGUCCAACGUUAAUCGGGGCAGGGUGAGUCGACCCCUAAGGCGAGGCCGAAAGGCGUAGUCGAUGGGAAACAGGUUAAUAUUCCUGUACUUGGUGUUACUGCGAAGGGGGGACGGAGAAGGCUAUGUUGGCCGGGCGACGGUUGUCCCGGUUUAAGCGUGUAGGCUGGUUUUCCAGGCAAAUCCGGAAAAUCAAGGCUGAGGCGUGAUGACGAGGCACUACGGUGCUGAAGCAACAAAUGCCCUGCUUCCAGGAAAAGCCUCUAAGCAUCAGGUAACAUCAAAUCGUACCCCAAACCGACACAGGUGGUCAGGUAGAGAAUACCAAGGCGCUUGAGAGAACUCGGGUGAAGGAACUAGGCAAAAUGGUGCCGUAACUUCGGGAGAAGG